ACCUGGCUGGCUCAGUUGGUAGAAAGUAUGACUCUUGAUCUUGAGGUUGUGAGUUCAAGCCCCAUGUCAGGUG
rnacentral:tRNA from 1 species